rnacentral:rRNA from 1 species
CCUACGGGAGGCAGCAGUGAGGAAUAUUGAGCAAUGGGCGCAAGCCUGACUCAGCAACGCCGCGUGGGCGAUGAAGGCCUUCGGGUUGUAAAGCCCUUUUCUGGGGGACGAGGAAGGACGGUACCCCAGGAAUAAGUCACGGCUAACUACGUGCCAGCAGCCGCGGUAACACGUAGGUGGCGAGCGUUAUCCGGAUUCACUGGGCGUAAAGCGCGUGCAGGCGGUUCCGUAAGUCGGACGUGAAAGCUCCUGGCUUAACUGGGAGAGGUCGUUUCAGACUGCCGGGCUUGAGGGUCGGAGAGGGACGUGGAAUUCCCGGUGUAGUGGUGAAAUGCGUAGAGAUCGGGAGGAACACCCGUGGCGUAGGCGGCGUCCUGGCCGACACCUGACGCUGAAGCGCGAAAGCGGGGGGAGCGAACGGGAUUAGAUCCCCGGGUAGU